rnacentral:rRNA from 1 species
AUCCUGGCUCAGGACGAACGCUGGCGGCGUGCUUAACACAUGCAAGUCGAACGGAAGGCCCCGCUUGCGGGGUACUCGAGUGGCGAACGGGUGAGUAACACGUGGGUGAUCUACCCUGCACUUCGGGAUAAGCCUGGGAAACUGGGUCUAAUACCGGAUAUGACCCCUCUUUAGUGUGGGGGGUGGAAAGUUUUUUCGGUGUGGGAUGAGCCCGCGGCCUAUCAGCUUGUUGGUGGGGUAAUGGCCUACCAAGGCGUCGACGGGUAGCCGGCCUGAGAGGGUGGACGGCCACAUUGGGACUGAGAUACGGCCCAGACUCCUACGGGAGGCAGCAGUGGGGAAUAUUGCACAAUGGGCGGAAGCCUGAUGCAGCGACGCCGCGUGGGGGAUGACGGCCUUCGGGUUGUAAACCUCUUUCGCUAGGGACGAAGCUUUUGUGACGGUACCUAGAUAAGAAGCACCGGCUAACUACGUGCCAGCAGCCGCGGUAAUACGUAGGGUGCGAGCGUUGUC